AUAUUGUCUGAGGACAGCCCUAAAUCCAAGAACAAAUCGUUCCUGUUACGUAUUCACAAUUUCUGGUUUUUUCUUCUCAUUGUGCUUCCAGCCAUCUCCCAGUAGAGCUGAGAAGAAAACCCCCACACAAAGGGAGGGACUGCACUGCAGGCAGGAUCUGCAGCCAGAUGGAGUCAUCCUGAUGUGAACCACCCGUCUGACCUUUGUGUAACUGUCGUGUUUGGCUACUGGCCUUUGAAGUGAUGGGAUAAGAGGUCUCCAAAAGGGGCAGGUAGGAUGAGGGAAAUAAAUGCUGCUGAGAUAUGGACUCAGUAAAUAACUUAUUUUUAAUAUCUUUCUCAUGUACAGUGUUCCUAAGUGUUGCUGCUCUCCAGCCUUUUCCUUUUUCCCUUGCUCAAGAUGGUCAGUGCAUAAUCCUUCCUGGAUUUUGGAGGAAAAGGCACAGCAGUUGUUUGCCUGAGCUCACAAUCUCUGUCUUCUGGUUUAGCUUCUCUUGAGAGAUCAGAUGAGAGAUUUGGGAGUGCUUGUCCUGAGACAGCCUAUGCCACCAGAUUCACAUCUCUCAAACAAUGCAACAUUUCUUUGGCACCAGGAUCAGAACAGAGACAAAAACCACAGAACGAAAACAGAGCUGGAGGAUCCCAGCCCCAAAUUCUUUGGCCACAUUCACGCUGAAAAUCUGGUCUGCAACAGGCUCCUGGUCCCUGGCUGAACCAUCUGGGAGGACCUGUCAGAAUGUGCCGUAGCUCUGGUUGGAGCAGGCACCUGGACUCCUCUUUGAGAGAAAGGUCAGUGUGUCGCCCUGCUAAGGUAGCAGGACACAGCCAAGGUGUGCACCUGGUGUGGGAAAUCAGAGCAAGGCUGGUGGCACGGGACGUUCCUGUUAGCAAGACUAAGGACAGCUGAUACUGAAUUUCUCCCUGGAGGUUCUUGGAUCAGUAUCCAGCCACCCUUUAGCUUUCUUUUGAUGGGCUAAAUGGACCAAGCUCCUUACAUCUCUCCCUGCAAAUCAUCUUUCACAAACUUGUGUACCCUUUUGUGCCUCUUUCUUGAUUUGUCUCCAGCUUUUCAACCUCCCAUUUGCUUUGUGGAUGCAAGAGCGGGGCACAAUGGGUUGGCAGCAGUUUCAGGAGAUGGGGAAUACCCAGACAACAUUAUCACCCUCUUCUCCCUGGAUUUCCUCUGCUUAUACAUACAAAGAUUAGCUCAGCAAGGACAAUCAGAGGCCAGGUCUCUACAUUUUUCCUCAGACCUAACCUAAAAGUGAGGCCUACAAUGAGAAGAGCCCCAUCUGAGCAGCUGGACUCCCUUUUUCAUUGAUGAUGGCAAAGAUUCACCCCAGGGGCAGUUCAUCCAAGCAGGUUCAGCACCAAAUUUAAGGUGAGAUGAACCACAUCCUUCCUGAACCUACUUCUCUUCUGUGAUUAAAUCAUAAACCAAAUCCACAUGUAGACACUUACUGGAGAAUUGCAGGCUGGGAUGAGAGAAGGAGAGAGAGAGAGAGAGAGAGAGAGCACCCAGGGAGAGAGACUGGGUGCUCCCUCAGG
ensembl:lncRNA